CAACAAGUAAUUGGUGGUGCGUUCUGUAAAGAAAGCGUGGAAAGAAGCAGAUUUUUCAUAUUAGUUUGUUUUAUUUGAUCCUUUUUUUGGCUCAAAAUUGAUUCUAAACAUUUUUAGUUGUUAUUGUAGUUUGAUGAAUUGCACUCAUGUGAGGGGAAAAAACAGCAAAAAAGGCAGUUUGGAGGUAAAUUAAAUAAAUGCAGAUUUUUUUAAAAUAAUAAACAAAUCAAAUUGUAAUGUUUAACAUAUUAGUUUAUGAGCAGUAAUAACAAUGCAGUAACAUGUUAUAGCAUUUGGCACUAACAUAACCUCAGCUGGGCACAACACCACACACACUCCCUAAAGUUCUACUGCAUAGACAUUUAUUUUCAAUGGGCGUUGUUGAAAGUUGUGUUGUUAUUUAUGCAUUUUUGUUCAAUUGUUUAUUGGUUAAUAUCAUUCGUUUCAUAUCACAUAUCUUAGACUUCAAAUUUGUAAUUAUUUUAUGAAAUGCAAGUAGUUUUAAUGCAUCCAAUCAUAUUUUGCAGGUUUAGCUUUCAUUGUUUUUUUUUUGUUUUUGUUUUUUUACUCCCCCAUUAUGUCAGAUGUUGCACUUGCUCGCCAGUUAAAACUGAUUUAUGGUCUCGAUGAGCAGCAGCUGAGGUAAAAGCUGUGGGUUCCUAUUUCCACACGCAAUGUGGCGUUAAAAAGAUAAAGUGUCUGCGGUUCAGCAACUGUUGCCACUUCAUUAUAUUUCCAACAUGUGUUUUUUGUCAACUUUAUAAAUCAGAAGAACAUUUUCACUUUAAAUGUAAUAAAUAAAUAAAUAAAUAAAUAAAUAAAUAAAUAAAUAAAUAAAUAAAUAAAUAAAUAAAAUGUUUGGAGAUGCCGUUAAAAAUAUAAACCACCUCGUUCAGCUCCAAAGAUUCUCUCUGGAAGCACAUAAAACUCCCAUGCGCAGCGGGUGCGUCGUUUAUGAAUUUCCAGAAAGUCUAAGGAGAUAAAACCCAUUUGGAACUAAUCAAUACCCCCAACAAAUCAUCAAUAAAAAUGCUCAUUUCCAUAAUGAAGUCUGGCUUUUGUUAUUCGUCUGCCUCCUCCUCGAUGCUGGUCAUUUUCCCACAUUCAUCAUGCUCUGAGGCAGACUUCAGUUUUGAAAGAAUGAGUCGGUUUUGCUCCACUCAUAGCUUCCAUAUCAUCCACGGGUGGAGGGUGCCACAGACACGAGAAGGGGGCGUCUUCAACAUCCCCGUGUGUGUAAAACAAAGCCGCUUUUGUAAUAAACUGGCUUAUUUCCCCCCAAAAAAGAAGUCAAGAGGGCAGCAUAUGUGGUCUUAAUGGGUUAUAGGUCAAACGGCCAUGAAACGCAAGGUCACGGAAGCCACGCAAGUCACCUUCCAGCGUGUCAACAUAUUGAUACUGUCAGAUAACGGGGAGGAGAAUGGUGCCUUCUGCGUCCAUGAUAAUGCGCAAGCAGAGCGCCCUUAUGUGAUCAAGAUGGUUGCUUUUAUUGAUGGAUUCCCAACAGUUCAAAGCUGUCAUUCCCAUUUGUCAUAAUAAUAUUUGUUUUCUUCCUAUAACCAUCAUUUUAGCCUCAAAAACCUGUUGAAAUAAAUGAUUUUUGUUGGGUGUGGGGGGUGGGGGGUAGGAGAGCUUUUCCCCUCUAUAUCCAAGAGGUUUGGAAAGCUGCAGCCCUGUGCCCCCCCCCCCUUCCUCCUCCCUUUUUUAUUUUAUUUCUUUAGCUUCUUUUCCUAUCUGGGGAGGUUUUUUUUGGUUUUUCACUGAAAUAAAGAGCUUCUUAUAAGGGUCGGCAAACGUGACUUUGAACUUGGAUCAGUUCCUGCGUUUCCUGCGGUGCGGGUUGAAAUAGACUUGGGGAAAAAAGAAGGGGCACUAAGGCUGUCCCAGUCUGAGCCUGGAGACACACAAUUAAAAAAAGAGAAAAAAAAGAUUUUUCUUCUCUUAAAAAAAACCUUUCCUCCAUGUCACCGUUAUUGUGUCGCCUAAUGCGCAUGGGAGAGCUGGCGCAGGCAGACGGAACGGAAAGGUGCGGAAUUUAACGCAGUGCAAAUGCUUGUCUGUGGGUGUAGCCAUGAAGGAGAGCUGAUACUUACACCUCUGGCUCGGCAUGAUCUCAAGGAUGCACCAGGCAACCUUGAGGAGGAAGGUGUUUUGAAAGCAAAAGGGGGCACGACAUCUAAGGAUAGGAAGCCACUUAAUUAUUGAAAAGGUGGAGACAUGCUGCAGGGGGGUUUACUGGCAAGAAGACAGCUAAGAAGCUGCUUCUGGGGCUGAGGAGGCUUCAGCCCAGCGCCUCCGAGCUCCCAUUGCCUAAGGGUCCCCUGGGAUGCAGCUGACUGGCACCCUGACUGCCAACCAGAUGAUGGAUCCUACCAGGAGAAUUAGACAUGACAGGGGGAGCUUGAUCUUGUGAUACCAGCUGGAUAAAAGCUUCAUUCUUGCCCCGCGGCGUCCCGCUGUGCCAUUGCCUCAACCAGACACUGUGAUGGUAAGUGACUGCUGUAAUUGUUCUACUUGUACCUCCUACUCUUCAGCCAUCCAACUGGCUCCUACCCCCUGGUUGUGCCACAUUUCCCACAUGGGCCAUCUUGGCAUGAACCCCAAUACAGGGUUGACGGCAUCAAACAGUUUGAUGCCGUCAGGUAAAGUCUCUUCUGAAAAGCGCUCACUGGCCUUUACAGUAAUUGUCCUCUUUUUAUGAAAUUAUUUAGUGCGAAUAAACAGAAUUUGAUUGUGAUUGCCGGCUCACAAUGAUUGCAAUUUAAUUUUGUGACGAUAAAACAUUUAAAUGCUCCCUUUAUUCCCAUUCCGUCCCGGAUUUUUCCUUUGAGAUAAUUCAGUUUGACCUAUUUCUAUUAAAUCAAGCUUUGGAAAAAUAUGAGAUUUGAUGUGAAAAAUCCGAAUGAAUCAACCCCAUCAUCGUUUUUUUUCCCCCUUUUUUCUAAAACUGUAUUUUCUCCAUCGUCAUCUCGGAGAGAUUAUGCAUGCUCUUAGAUACGCCAGUUGCCUCAUUUAGCACCCCACAAACCAGCACCCCCCUUCAACCCCACUGUGCCCACAGACACAUGCACGCAUGCACAUGAGAGCAAAUGGAGGAGAGGAGGGAAACACGCAGAGAGGAUUGCUUACUGUACUGUACAUCAAAUAUUAAUCUGUUUACUAUAGAAAAUAGACUUAUCUUUGCCCAAUCUGUUUGAAGUGACAGGAUCGGCCCUUGUCGUGUAAUGGGGACUCUUUACUGUAAAUGAAUGACUCCAGCUACUCACUUGAGUCUCUUUUUCAUUCAGUCUCAGUGGAAAGGCGUCUGCUUUAAUUAGGAUCGACUCUGAUUUUUUUAAAUUUUUUUUUGCUUUUGGGUUUUUGUGCUGAAAGCCUGUAUUGGACUCUGUCGGUUUGCUUUUGUAAGGCAUGUCAUAGAGCGAAGAGAGGAGGAGCAGGGGAGCAAAACCCAGAAGAAUUGUGAAGAGGAGCAAGCUGUGUCUGAAAGAAAAAGGGGCUUAAAGAAGACGUAAAAAAAAUAUACAAUCCACACAUUAUCAUAUACUUUUAGCUACAGGCAGCCAACAAACACAAAGGCGCUUGAACACGCUUUAAAACAUGCGCGUGCAGAAUACACUUCAAGCUCAACACUAUUGGGUUUUUUUCCUUCUAGCUUAAGCAAGUCAGUCAUUCAAAGGAAAACCUCUAGCAUUUUCCUGUUAUUUUUUUUUAAAGAUCCUUUGCAGGUAAAUGAAUAAAUGAAUAAACAAAGCACCAGGUGAACAUUUAUAUGCACAAAAAAGUGAAAGAGCAGGGAGCCAGGCCAGCAUCUCAGCCAGAGGUAUGUUGCCAUCUUCUGGUUCUGACGCCAAACUUCAAGGACAGAGAUGCAUUUUUCGGCUGACCCUCUUUAGAUCUCAAUUUUUAUACAUUAGGUGUUCAGAAUACACAAGCAAGAAGGUUUUUUUUCUGUCUUCCAUUCAAACUUUUAAUUAGAAAUUAAAUAUAAGUACAUUACGUAAAGAAAUCUUUUGGGGAAGUCACCUUUAACCCUUAUAAACACAAUACAAGGGUUAAUAUAAUAUAUUGAAGCUUUCACUUUGGCAUAUACACUCUGAUGAAUGAUGUCAAAAGUGACUUUUCCAGACUUUAGAGCGUGCCUUGUUCAUCUCAUUUGCAUGUACCAUCAUCCACAUAUGCCCUCCUUUUUCUCCACUGCCCCGAAUGUGAUCUGUGCAGUUGCAGGGUGUUAAUUGGCUUGGCCCUGCAGUGUGUACGUGCACAUGUGUGUGUCAGUGUCUCAGCACGAAUGUUUGUGUAUGUAUAUGUCAGCAUGUUGACAGCGUGAGCAGUGUCGGAGUCUCUCACGGAGGCUCCAGCACAUGUGGCUCUCUUCCAGUCUGCGCGGCUCUUUCCUCUGGUCCUAACAUGUGCUCUGUGCCUCCCUGUCCCUGCCCAGCCCUGCUGGGCUCUGUUAGGCCCUGUCUGCAGUGGACCAGUCUGUUCCUGCUGCUAAAAUGUGAAAAUCGCUGAAGUCCCAGCAUUUCAGUAGAAAUACUUGUCAUCUAAUCCAAAGGUUUUUCAAAAAUUGUGUCAAUUUCGACCAAAAUUUCAAAAAAGGUACCUUUGUUUUACACUCAUUUCCUUUUUAGUCACAAAAAUGCUAAAAAAUAAAAAGACAUAUUUUUGUGUUGGCAAUUGGAGUUUAAAUCUUCACAAAUAUUUUCUGAAUAUUCAUCUGUUUUAUGAGAUUUUCUCACAAACUCUUGUGGCCUUUUCUUUCAUCCUAUUAUUCCACUCCCGGGACUGACUUUGCAGCAUUUCCCUGCUCCGUUUUAUUAAUCUAAAAUCGCAUUUUUCUAAGUUGUUUCUUCCAAAAGGUCAAGUGGGUGUUAGAUGGAUCUGCCACAACGGUCAGCAACAUUAAAAACUUUAUUUCCUUCUCUGUUAAAAAGCACGUUUGUGUCUUUUCUCAAGCUGUCUUGUCAGUGAUCUCUUUUUUUUUUUUUUGUAUGUGGUCUUCGUGUGGUGCUGAAUGAGCGGGGAGCCAAACAGACAUGCCCCAGAAAAUGCCAGAGAGUGACCGACACAGCAGCCAAAAGACACACUAACUCACACAUUGCUGCCUCUGUUUCUUCUUCUUCUUCUUUUUUUAACUUGAUUUGUCCUCACUAUUCCUCCUUGCUCCUUUUUGCCUGCGGCAAGACAGCUGUGUCCGUCAGGGCUUGAUGCCUGUGACAUGGGUCACACGCUAAGAGCCCACCUGAUCAUGACAGCAGAGAAACUCAUCUGGUUGUUUGUAAAGGAAAGAUACUUUUCUUACACUGCUAUUAUUUUUAUUUAGUUAUUUCUGAAAAGCAAAUUGUCUUCUGCUCCAAAAAGAGGCAUACACAAUUAAAUGAAGUAACCAUCAAGUUAAGAAACAACAAUAGAUUAAAUUGUUUAUGUAACAUUUUUUUUUUAAUUAUAAUGUUGUUACUAUUAAAGCAAUUAGUUUAACACAUAGCAAAGGGAGAAAUUUUAAGUUGUUAGGAUUUGCACAUUUUAAGGUUUCUGAGUAUUUAAACAGCAAGGUAGUUAACUUUCUUGGUACAAGUUUUGAUUUUUUGGAAAAGCAAAAAAUGUUUAUAAGUUCAAAAUGUUAACAAAAUAAAAUCUGCUUGUCUUUAUUUUGAGGAAAUGUUUUUUUCUCUGAAUAAUGUAACUUUGAUUUGUAUCUUUAAAAUUACCUGAAAACUGUUUAGUUAAAGGUAAAAACAGUUAUGAAUAAUUGUAUUCUGUUAAAAAUAAGUUUCAAAGACUAAAAUAACACAGAUUUGUACAAAAUAAAAUGUAUACAAACACAUUACUUUGAAAAAUGUCAGUUAAUUCAUUUUAGCAAAUGCUGUUUACAUUUGUAUUGAAAUGUAUUGAUUUACUGUAACAUAUUAUAGCACAAGAUUUAUGUCCUCUGAAAUGACAGUAAAAAACAAAUGCUUUUUAAAA